AGCUCAUCUUCAUAUUGUCUCUUUGAGUACUAGUUGUAAAUCAAGUGUUGGUUAGAAUGCCCCAAUGACAUAUAUCUCUUUCAAAGUGUGUUUCUAUGAAGUUCUAGAUCAUUUCGAUGUGAUUUUGUACCAAUUUCAUUCUGGGAUUUUGUUACAUCAAAAUUGAUAUUUCAAGGGUUAUUUCAAAGUUGGUUUUGUGCCAUUUGAAUUUAAAUUGAUUUUUUUGUGAAAUUUCAAAGGAGAGACUAUGAUGUUGGAAUUGUUUUGAUUCUAUCGCUUGCCCUGUUUUGAAUAGUGAACGACCUUCAAUUGCGCUUCACCACCCCCCCUGUGGGUAAAAGCUUAUAUAGCUGGUUGACCAAAAUGAGGAUCCCAAAUUGCAUGAGCAAUAGGUCCCUCAGGUUUGGCGAGGUAAAUGUAUUAAAAAGGGACAAAUUUUAUCGGAUGGUGUUGCUACGGUUGGCAGCGAACUCGCCUUGGAUGCCAAGGAGCAAGUCAGAAAGAUUGAGAAAUAGAACCAUCUGAUUUGAUUCGUUCUAUAGCGGGGUCUCGAAAAACAAAAAAACCUCCAUAAAGAAACUAUGUCUACAAGCACUGGCGGAUCCACAGAGGCGUAAGGAGGUGCAGCUGCACCUCCCCUCACCGGAAACUUCCUUGGGGAUGCCUGAAUUUGCCCCGUCGCUAGUGCCCACCAAUUGUUCGACUAAAUGCCUCAAAGACGUUGUAUUGUUUGCUGCUGUUUGAGACCCUGAAUAUUUAUCUUAUAUUGUUGGGCUCGAUCUCACGAGCAUGUAGGAGAAAACAGUUCAUCAAUCGGAGCUACACAACCAAAGUUAUGAAUUUUCGAAGUUUUUCUUGAAUAUUUGAAGUUAUGUUGCAGAGGAACAGUUUAAGGAAGAAGAAGACUCUGCGUCAGCGCUUCUGAUUUUGAUUCUUUUUUAAAUGGCCCAAUAGCAAGCCAACACAUGUCUAUUUCUAAUUGGCCUAGCUUAAAAAUUCAUUAAAUACUCAUAUGUGUGCCAAAAAAUUCACCGAAAAUUACCCCAAACUUCUAAUCACGUGUACAUUUAUUUCAUGACCUCCAAUUUACAUGUGCUUUUGGUUAGAUUAAUUGGUAAA